rnacentral:rRNA from 1 species
AGAGCGAACGCUGGCGGCAUGCUUAACACAUGCAAGUCGCACGGGCACUUCGGUGUCAGUGGCGGACGGGUGAGUAACGCGUAGGUAUCUAUCCUUGGGUGGGGGACAACUGUGGGAAACUACAGCUAAUACCGCAUGAUAACUGAGGUUUAAAGGCGCAAGUCGCCUGAGGAGGAGCCUGCGUACGAUUAGCUAGUUGGUGGGGUAAAGGCCUACCAAGGCGACGAUCGUUAGCUGGUCUGAGAGGAUGAUCAGCCACAUUGGGACUGAGACACGGCCCAAACUCCUACGGGAGGCAGCAGUGGGGAAUAUUGGACAAUGGGCGCAAGCCUGAUCCAGCAAUGCCGCGUGUGUGAAGAAGGUCUUCGGAUUGUAAAGCACUUUCGACGGGGACGAUGAUGACGGUACCCGUAGAAGAAGCCCCGGCUAACUUCGUGCCAGCAGCCGC